rnacentral:rRNA from 1 species
CGGGACGGGUGAGUAAUGCUUGGGAAUCUAGCUUAUGGAGGGGGAUAACUACGGGAAACUGUAGCUAAUACCGCGUAAUAUCGGAAGAUUAAAGUGUGGGACCUUCGGGCCACAUGCCAUAGGAUGAGCCCAAGUGGGAUUAGGUAGUUGGUGAGGUAAAGGCUCACCAAGCCGACGAUCUCUAGCUGGUCUGAGAGGAUGACCAGCCACACUGGGACUGAGACACGGCCCAG